UACGUAGGGUGCGAGCGUUGUCCGGAAUUAUUGGGCGUAAAGAGCUCGUAGGCGGUCUGUCGCGUCUGCUGUGAAAACCCGGGGCUCAACUCCGGGUUUGCAGUGGAUACGGGCAGACUAGAGUUCGGUAGGGGAGACUGGAAUUCCUGGUGUAGCGGUGAAAUGCGCAGAUAUCAGGAGGAACACCGGUGGCGAAGGCGGGUCUCUGGGCCGAUACUGACGCUGAGGAGCGAAAGCGUGGGGAGCGAACAGG
rnacentral:rRNA from 1 species